UAUUUAUUAUUUCCUUCAAUUUUCAGCAUCUUUUGCAUUUAGUCGCCACGGGAUUUUUUGCUGUCAAGUGCAUUCUCUAUAUUUGAGAAUAUCCAGUUCUGUCCUGGAAAAGGAAAAUGAAUAGGAUAACUCACGUGCUAAGCAGAGCUCUCUCUCCACCCCUUUUGUGUCCAGAAUUGGUGGGUUCUUGGACUCACUGACUUC
rnacentral:lncRNA from 1 species